rnacentral:rRNA from 1 species
CUGCUGCCUCCCGUAGGAGUUUGGGCCGUGUCUCAGUCCCAAUGUGGCCGAUCAACCUCUCAGUUCGGCUACGCAUCAUUGCCUUGGUAAGCCUUUACCCCACCAACUAGCUAAUGCGCCGCGGGCCCAUCCAAAAGCGGUAGCAUAGCCACCUUUUACAUAGCUACCAUGCGGUAACUAUGGUUAUGCGGUAUUAGCACCUGUUUCCAAGUGUUAUCCCCCUCUUUUGGGCAGGUUGCCCACGUGUUACUCACCCGUUCG